rnacentral:rRNA from 1 species
GAUGAACGCUGGCGGCGUGCCUAAUACAUGCAAGUCGAGCGAACAGACGAGGAGCUUGCUCCUCUGACGUUAGCGGCGGACGGGUGAGUAACACGUGGAUAACCUACCUAUAAGACUGGGAUAACUUCGGGAAACCGGAGCUAAUACCGGAUAAUAUAUUGAACCGCAUGGUUCAAUAGUGAAAGACGGUUUUGCUGUCACUUAUAGAUGGAUCCGCGCCGCAUUAGCUAGUUGGUAAGGUAACGGCUUACCAAGGCAACGAUGCGUAGCCGACCUGAGAGGGUGAGCGGCCACACUGGAACUGAGACACGGUCCAGACUCCUACGGGAGGCAGAAGUAGGGAAUCUUCCGCAAGGGGCGAAAGCCUGACGGAGCAACGCCGCGUGAGUGAUGAAGGUCUUCGGAUCGUAAAACUCUGUUAUUAGGGAAGAACAAAUGUGUAAGUAACUAUGCACGUCUUGACGGUACCUAAUCAGAAAGCCACGGCUAACUACGUG